GGUGUAACCGGGGUACCCCCCUGAUUGGGAAACCGGGAAAGGGUUAAACCGGAUUGCCUUCAUCGCUGUGGUGGGGAAAGUUUUGGGUUUGGAGGACUCGGGCCUUUCAGCUGUUGGUGGGUAAUGCCUACCAGGCGAUGACGGUAGCCGCCUGAAAGGUGACCGGCCACACGGGAUGAGACACGGCCCAGAUUCUACGGAGGCAGCAGUGGGAAUAUGCACAAUGGCGCAAGCCUGAUGCAGCGACGCCGCCUGAGGGAUGACGGCCUUCGGGUUGUAACCUCUUUCAGUAGGGAAGAAGCGAAAGUGACGGUACCUGCAGAAGAAGCGCCGGCUAACUACGUGCCAGCAGCCGCGGUAAUACGUAGGGCGCAAGCGUUAUCCGGAAUUAUUGGGCGUAAAGAGCUCGUAGGCGGUUUGUCGCGUCUGCUGUGAAAGACCGGGGCUCAACUCCGGUUCUGCAGUGGGUACGGGCAGACUAGAGUGAUGUAGGGGAGACUGGAAUUCCUGGUGUAGCGGUGAAAUGCGCAGAUAUCAGGAGGAACACCGAUGGCGAAGGCAGGUCUCUGGGCAUUAACUGACGCUGAGGAGCGAAAGCAUGGGGAGCGAACAGGAUUAGAUACCCUGGUAGUCCAUGCCGUAAACGUUGGGCACUAGGUGUGGGGGACAUUCCACGUUUUCCGCGCCGUAGCUAACGCAUUAAGUGCCCCGCCUGGGGAGUACGGCCGCAAGGCUAAAACUCAAAGGAAUUGACGGGGGCCCGCACAAGCGGCGGAGCAUGCGGAUUAAUUCGAUGCAACGCGAAGAACCUUACCAAGGCUUGACAUGGACUGGACCGCUCUGGAAACAGGGCUUCCCUUCGGGGCUGGUUCACAGGUGGUGCAUGGUUGUCGUCAGCUCGUGUCGUGAGAUGUUGGGUUAAGUCCCGCAACGAGCGCAACCCUCGUUCCAUGUUGCCAGCACGUAGUGGUGGGGACUCAUGGGAGACUGCCGGGGUCAACUCGGAGGAAGGUGGGGACGACGUCAAAUCAUCAUGCCCCUUAUGUCUUGGGCUUCACGCAUGCUACAAUGGCCGGUACAAUGGGUUGCGAUACUGUGAGGUGGAGCUAAUCCCAAAAAGCCGGUCUCAGUUCGGAUUGGGGUCUGCAACUCGACCCCAUGAAGUCGGAGUCGCUAGUAAUCGCAGAUCAGCAACGCUGCGGUGAAUACGUUCCCGGGCCUUGUACACACCGCCCGUCAAGUCACGAAAGUUGGUAACACCCGAAGCCGGUGGCCUAACCCCUUUGUGGGAGGAGCCGUCGAGGC
rnacentral:rRNA from 1 species